AACUCAUACCUUCUUGGUGUGUUGGGCCUCGCCCCAGCGGCGUAGCCUCAAAGUCAUUGGUCUAAAGGCGGACAAGAUCCAUUGGGACCGACCGUUUGGGACCAUAAACCUCUG
rnacentral:misc_RNA from 1 species